GGCUGGGGUCGGUAGGGCUUGGAGCCAGCCGUUCAAAGUCACCCCUGGGAAGCGCCCGCAACCCUUGGGGACGCCUCUCCUCCGGCUGCCCCCCUUCCCUGGAAUCCAGGUGUCACUGGGGCCGGGGAGGGGCUAGGAGCUCGGAUUUCUGCUUUGGGAAGUUUUUACAAGCCCACCCUCCCCCUGCCUUGGUUCCCCGAGCCAAGAAUUUCAGAAAUCCGGGGCACAAAAACGCCAGUGUUUGCGGUCAAGGAUUAAAGGCGCGAGGUGUCUUUAUUUAAUCUGCUCCGCCCUGCUCGGGUUUGCACGAGAAACCAAGCCUGGGAGCGACGGUCCACGCAAGCGGAGACACAGAUCCAACCCCGAGGCAUUUGG
rnacentral:lncRNA from 1 species